AUCCGGGACUCCGAACAAUCUUAGGUACAUGAAAACUCAUGAACUCAUAAUAUAACCGUCAUUGAAACUUUAAGCGUGCGAGGCCUGUUUCUUCAAACUUUGCCCCCCGUGCCGGCGCGGCUGCCAGCGAGACACGGGUGCCGGCGAGGCUUCCAGCGAUCCACGGGUGCCGGCGCGGCUGCGAGCGAGACACGGGUCCCGGCGCGGCUGCGAGCGAGACACAGGUUAGUAACCUGUACACAGUUCGCUUCUGGUUAAACUAAUUCAAAUCCUAUCUUUCGAGUGGGGCAGUCAAGGCCUGAUUCUCCACGCUUCCAGGUUUGCAUUCGGAUCAUGUGGAUUUGAACUGUUUCUUCAAAGUUUGCCGUCGGAUCAGGUGUGCGAGGCCUGUUUCUUCAAACUUUGCCCCCCGUGCCGGCGCGGCUGCCAGCGAGACACGGGUGCCGGCGAGGCUUCCAGCGAUCCACGGGUGCCGGCGCGGCUGCGAGCGAGACACGGGUCCCGGCGCGGCUGCGAGCGAGACACAGGUUAGUAACCUGUACACAGUUCGCUUCUGGUUAAACUAAUGCGGGAAGAGACUGGGUUAACUAUACAACUGUUCGAUUGGUGGUGUGACAUAGCCCCAACUGUUCGUCCGAUUCGUACAUGAUCCUGACUGUUCUUGUGUGCUAGCGAGGCAUAUACCUGUUCAAAGUAUUAGAUUAAACUGCUUUAAGUAUACAACCAAUGCAUAGCAAGGCUUGACAUAUGUAUACAUUCAAACCUUUUGAAAACUUACUGCUUCUCGAGAGGUAUCCUAACCCCGGCUAUAAUUUUUCUGACGUUCUACCGAAGUAACCUGUACCAAGAACAUGGCUAAGGAGGAUAAUUUGAUAUAUACAUGAUUUCUAUUCAACAAGCAACGCUAUCAGAAUAAAUGCAGCACGAAUAUGAUUGUGCGGUUUCAGAUUAGCUCCAUAGUGUUCCUUUUUUUAAUUAUCAAGAGCUUGUUGAAAUAACUGUGGUACAUAAUAUAUGGAAUCCAGUAUGCACUUAUAUGCACUUAGUUGACUAUCUUUAGUUUCUAUAUAUACUGAUGGAACUAUCUUCAGUUUGUAUAUAUACUUGUCACAAAUCAGUACUUGGCACAAACCUAUCUCGGUGGCGUAUGAGAAACAAGAUUUGUGUCCGAGAAAAAAAUACUACAAAUGGAGGAUGAGAUGAUGCUGCCAGGCCAAAGCAACAUUUUCAUGUUGUCCCCUGACUCUAUGCUUUUCUGUGUGGUUUCAUCUACUCUCCUUUUUAUUUAUUUUUUUUGCUUUUCUUAAUCUCGACCAGCCUAGGAAGAAGAAAACUUGAACCAAAGUAGUUAAUCCAUUGCACAACUCAAUGCAUUUCAACUUGUUCUGUUGCUUCCACCAAAAUCAUGCAGAUAUAAAGAUAAUACAAGAAGGUUAGUUACCUUCCUUUGUGCAGGACAAGAACUCUACCCGCUGCCAUUUUACGGAACCUGUAGCAAGCAAUGCAUUACAUGACAAUGUUGGUUAUUGGGCACAAAAACUGAAGAGAAGCAUUAUUGUACCAAACAUGCCAAGAACUUACUUUACUUCUGUUCAAUGUAGAUUAAAGUGCGUUAAAUAUAGUAUACGGUACUUAUUGGUCUGCUUUGCCAAUGACAAUUGUCUAUGACAGUGAUGUCCUCAAACGACUUGACCCCGUUUGGUUCUCGUUGGGAAAGGGUGAAUCUUGCUAAGCAACACCGACAACGACAAAUGGAGGCGACAACUGGGCUCCGACAACCUCUUGGUGAUAUCACCAAUGUUGAUAGACUCCCCAAAGAGGGUCCAGGUAUAUUUAAUUGAUAAUUGAUUAGUAUUUGGUGAUUGUUAAAUUACUAACCUAAACAAUCCCUUUCGCAAGCUAUUGGAGCUGGCCCACAACCAUCGAGCGGCUUGUUUAUUCAUGAAGCAGAUGUCCCGUCUCCCUCGACCAUAGAACUUCCGAAAGGGAGUCCAGGUAUAACUCAUCAGCAAUAUUUAAAUGCCUUCGAUAUUGGUGAUUACUAAUUUGAACAAUCCCUUUCGCAAGCCGUUGCAUCUGACCCACGACCAUCGAGCAGCCUGAUUAUACAUGAAGCACCAAUCCCCUCUGCGUCAACCAUAGAAAACCAUAAAGGUAGUCCAGGUAUAGCUUCCGAACUCACACCUCCUUCCAAUUUCUAAAUAUAAUGAAGCGGUAAAUUUAAUCCAUCAGAGGGGAUUGUUGCGAAUCAUCUGCUUUGGUAUAUAAUUAAUAUAUCGCAACCUUGAUGGUGCAUGAUUUUAUCCAUAAAUAUUAUUACUGUUCAAAAUCAGAUGCUAACUUGUGUAUACCUACAACAACAGAUGGACCUACGAGGGGCCGUGCUGGCCAACGUAAAGGGACCUUAUCAAAGGAGGAAAGGGAUGUCAUCAACGCACGGAGAAGAGCAACUUAUAAGAAGAAAAAAGAAGAGCAAGGGUACCAAGAACAAAAGGAUAAGUUUAACACAAAGAGACGAGAAUCUUAUCAGAAGAAGAAACAGCAGGAAGACCGACAGCGACAGAUGGAUGCGACAAAUGGCCUCCGACACGCUCUUGGUGAAGACACCAAUGUUAAUAUACACCCCAAAGAGGGUCCAUGUAUAUGGAAUUUGUGUAAUGUUUUUAGUAAUUCACCUUCAAUGUUGUUUCUUACUAAUUAACAAAGUCCCUUUCGCAAGACAACCGAUCUGACCCACAACCAUCAAGCGGACUAUUUAUUCGCGAAGCACCAACCCCAUCGCCCUCAACCAUUGAACUACCCAAAGGGAGUCUAGGUAUAACUCUGAGACAAUCUUUAAAUGCCUUUCAUAUUGAAUUUUUACUAAUUUGAACAAUCCCUUUCGCAAGCCAUUGCAGCUGACCCACAACGAUUGGGAGGCCUGAUUAUACAUGAAACAACAAUCCCCUCUGCGUCAACCAUAGAACUCCCCAUAGGUAGUCCAGGUAUUACUUUCGAACUCACACCUCCUUUGAUUUUCUACAAACAUCGAAACAGAAAUAAGUACAAAGUUGAGUCACUUAUUUUGGGACGGAGGGAGUAUCACUGUUGUACCUCCAGUCAACCAUGAGAGCUUUGAACUUGAUUGUUCUGGUUCGGAUGCUAAUGUGUAUAGACCUACAACAAUAGGUCCAGCUAUAAGGGGCUGUGAGGGCCAACGUAACGGGACAUUAUCAACGGAAAAAAAUGAUGUCAUAAACGCACGGAGACGAGCAACUUAUAAAAAGAAAAUAGAAGAGGAAGGGUACCAAGAACAAAAGGAUAAGUUAAACACACAAAGACGAGCAGCUUACGAGAUGAAGACACCAAAGGACACAAACACAUUAGAUAUUAUAAAUUCAAAGAGGCGAGCCGCUUACGAGAAGAAGAAGGAACAAAUAAACACGCAAAGACGGGAAACGGCUCAGAAACAUCGAGAUAGCUUAACACCAGAGCAAAAAGGGGAGAUUAGUGCUCAGCGCCGACAGCGAGAGAAAGCUAUCCGGAACACCCCGUGUGCUGAAUCCAUCGCGAUGCCUCGUCCUGAUUUAGCAAGCUCAGCUACGGCGAGCACAUGCGGUUACACCUUCAAAUCUUACGGUAUUCCUCGCCUGUGUGCUCCACAUCUUAUGUUCGUAUGCAUUAAACAAAUAUUUACUUGCUCCGUAUCGAUGCAGCCGCCUACUGUACCAGUACGCUGGACGAUAGUAACCUCAUGUUGGAUCCUGGGCAACAAUCCCAUGGUGAACAAAUUGAUCAUGCUCCUGCUGUCACCAAGAGCCCCGCAUACAUUCGAAACACCGAAACCGAUGGUACUUAUCCCAUCAUGAACCAGCUUUCAUUUUGUAAACAUUCAACAGUUGUUUACGACAACUCAAAAAUGUUGUAGGUGCCUACCUAAGUAGAACCUUCGGUGACGGGGCUGUAGAUGACGACCCAAUCAAAAUCGAUGAUCACCUGAAAAGUGUCGACCAGCUAACCAGUGAUCCGAUAACAAUAGCGGAUAACAGAGCGGACGAGCAGAAUCAUGAGUCCAGAGCUCGGCAUAGGACAAGAGAGCGAGCUUGCAAGGGAAGUAUGGCGGCGAAGAAGCGUCAGGAGAAAAUUGGCAAGCAAAAAACAUCACAGAAGGUACCACGUGGUGAGAGGAAUGCUCUACUAGAUCGGCGUAAUGAAAGGUUUGCAUGUAGGGUGAAGACCCCAACCGUCAGGUCCAUCUCCAUACCGGAAAUGAGCUCAAGUGGACAACCUACCGUAGUGGAAGCACACGGUGCCUCGACCUCAUCUAGCACACCGGAGUACACGAUCAGAAGUGAAGGUAACACUCCCAUCCUUACUCUCCUUGCGACCCUUGAGACUGAACCCUCAUUUAUUGGUUUCGCACCUGAGCAGACGACAUGGAUGCUUACCUUAGUCGUCUCAUGAAUGAUAAUGUCAACCCUGACAGCCUCUUUGACGAUGAGUAUUACCUGUUUGCUGGUGAAGGUAUGUACACCCACUUGAGCAACAUCCACCCGUCGGGAAUAUCACACUAAUUUUAAACAUUGUUUGCAGGCUCAGAUGCUGAUGACAUGGAGCACGACGAAUUGGAAGACUCAAGUCAAAAUACCUAUGUCGACCAUGAUCCAUUGGACUAUGUCUACUCAAACCUCCCAGACCACACACACAUACUGAAGCACGCCGCAAAUUGCGAUCAGUGCAAGGCCAAGAAGUUUGUGUCCGAGGCCCCGGGAUUCUGCUGUCGCAGUGGGCAGAUCCAACUGAAGCAACCGGAGCCCAUCCCGGAGCUAAUGAGGCUUUGGUCUAGCAUGGAUGCGGACUCAAGGCAUUUUCGGGAGAACAUACGGUUCUUCAAUGGCCACUUCUCCUUCACAACCCUCGGAGUCAGCCUUGAUGAAAGCUACACAAACAUGAAGUCUGGGGUGUACACGUUCCGAGCGCAUGGCACCAUCUACCACAACGUUCAUUCCUUCGGGCCAACGUCACGUCCAGAUCAUCUAUAGUUGUACUUCUACGACGACGACCCAGGCCUAACCCAUCGCAAGGCUGCCACCGAGCAAUUAGACCAAGAUAUCGUCAGAAAGUUAGUGAACAUACUCAGGGAAAACCCGUACUCCCAGCAGUUUAGGAGUUUGGGUGCGCACAGGGACAACCUCGACGAUUACAUGAUAGACCUCAACACUGACCAGAGACUAGACCAACGGAAGUAUAAUAGACCUCUAUCAUCUGAGGUUGCUGCGAUUUGGGUGGAGGGCACUGACCUAGCGAAGAGGUUCGAUCGUAGGAUUACACUUUGCGGGAAUGACAACCAGAGGCACAGUAUACAUGUGACGGCUGGCUCGUAUGACCCGCUCUCUUACCCACUCUUCUACCCAAGGGGGGAGCUCGGUUGGCACCUGAAACUUCCUAAACGUGAUGUCCCUUGGCCGGUUGUGCAACAACCAAGAGGUAAACGUGAUGAUGAUGAUGAUGAUGAGGAUGCAGGUAAGCCUUAUUCGUAUUCUGUCGUUUAGAUGAAUUGUAUACUUCUCAUAUGAAUUCUAAUGUCUGCGUUACUCACCCAUGUGCAGAGGGGAAUAGCAGGUUGUGCGUCUCGGUGAGAGACUACUACUGUUACAUGCUCCAGACACGACCUGGGAUAUUCAAUCCCAUACUCUGUGGAGCACGAUUGCUCCAGCAAUGGGGGGUGGACAUGUACAUCAAGAUUGAGAGUUGUAGGUUGAAAUGGUACAGAAAGAACCAGACAAAGAUCCGUGCCGACCUGUAUAAAGGAGUUGUUGAUGCAAUUACAUCCGGGGAAACCCGGGCAAGCGCUAUUGGAGUAAGGAUAGUGCUCCCUAGAACGUACCCAGGUGGCGACCGCGACAUGAAGCGGAGGCAUAUGGAUGCCAUGGCAAUUUUCCAUACCUACGGGAAGCCUGACAUCUUCUUGACCAUGACCUGCAACCCUAACUGGGAAGAGAUAACCAAUGAGUUGUUUCCUGGUCAGACAGCGCAAGACCGACCUGAUCUUGUGGCUCGUGUGUUCCAUGGCAAGCUAGAGGCUAUGAAAGAGAUGUUGUUCAAGAAGAAUAUCUUGGGUGUUGUUGUCGCACAUGUAUACGUAGUCGAGUUCCAGAAGAGGGGCCUCCCCCACGCACACUUUUUGUUGAUCAUGGAUUCUGCCUAUAAGCUUGUUGUUCCGGAGCAGUAUGACCGACUCAUUUCUGCCGAGCUCCCAGACAAGCAGAAGUAUCCUGAACUCUACGCCUUGGUGGUGAAACAUAUGAUGCACGGACCAUGCGGUGCUCUCAACCCCAACAAUGUGUGCAUGCAACAGAACGAGUGUAAGUGCAGAUACCCGCGGCCGUUCAAUGAAAACACGGCACAGGGCAAGGACUCAUACCCAGUUUAUCGUCGUCGAGAUAAUGGUCGGCAGGCUAAGGUCCGGGGUAAAAUGUUGGACAAUAGAUGGGUUGUGCCGUAUAACCCUUACCUUCUGCGGAUGUUCAAUUGCCACAUCAACGUUGAUGUUUGCUCCAGCAUAAAGGCCGUCAAAUACCUUUACAAGUACAUAUACAAGGGCCAUCAUAGGGCUUCUUUCAACAUCGACCAGCCCGAUGCCAAUGGUAACAUUGAUGAGAUCAAAAGAUACGUAGACGCGAGGUGGGUUACUCCUCCAGAGGCGAUGUGGAGGAUAUUUGGCUUUCCCUUGUGUGCCAAUGACCCGUCUGUCCUACAGUUGCCUCUUCAUCUCCCGAAUAUGCAUAGGGUGGCAUUCAAUGAGCAAGCUCACUUGACCGACGUAGUCGCCUCUGAGAAUGCUUCCAAAUCCAUGUUGACAGAGUAUUUCAAAGCUAACCAAAACCAUCCAUGGGCUAGGAAUAUAUUGUACAAGGAUUUUCCUGGAAGGUUCACAUGGCAGAAGGGUAAGAAGUAUUGGAAAGAGCGGUUGGAGCGUUAUCAGAUAGGUCGAAUUGUGUCUGCCAAUCCUGCCGAGGGGGAGCGAUUCUAUCUGCGUGUGCUGCUAAACCAUGUUGCUGGCAAGACAUCCUAUGAGGACCUGCUCACCGUGGACGGUAGGCUAUGCGGGAGCUUUAGAGAGGUUGCCGAAAGGUUGGGACUCAUCGAGGCAGAUAACACGCUCGACGACUGUCUUACCGAGGCAGAGUAGUGGGCGAUGCCAUGUUCGCUCAGGAGGCUCUUCGCAACAAUUUUGGUGCACUGUGAGCCAGGCGACGUGCGUGGUUUAUGGGAUAGGCACUUCGAGUCUAUGUCUGAUGACUAUCGGCGAUCACACACGUGCCCGAUUAGGGUGGAACAGAUGGUGUUGCUUGACAUUAGGGGUAUGUUGCAGUCCAUGGGCAAAGACAUAGCUGAUUUCAUUCUUCCAUGCAUUGACGAUGCUUUCGACCCAACCGAGGGCGAGGCCAGAGAAGUGAUCGAGGAAUCCAACGUCGAUUUUGACAUCAACGACACUAAAUUGGCUUCGUCGCUAAACUUGGAGCAGAGGGCUGCAUACGACGAGAUACUAGCUUCUGUUGAAUGCGGUGAUGGGGGUGUGUUCUUUGUUGAUGGCCCGGGAGGUACAGGGAAGACCUUCCUGUACAGGGCGCUGUUCGCCAAGGUUCGAAGCGAGGGAAACAUCGCUAUCGCUACUGCAACGUCAGGCGUCGCCGCUUCUAUCAUGCCUGGAGGCAGGACUGCCCACUCGAGGUUCAAGAUCCCGUUGAGCUGCGACGAUGGCACCUCAUGCACCUUCACGAAGCAGAGUGGUACCGCCAAGCUACUGAGGAUGGCCUCAUUGAUACUAUGGGACGAGGCCACCAUGACUAAGCGACAGGCAGUCGAGGCACUGGACAACAGCAUGCGCGACAUCAUGGGAAGACGAGACCGACCCUUUGGAGGAAAAACUGUUGUGUUUGGCGGGGACUUCAGGCAGGUGCUUCCCGUCGUCAGGAGGGGGUCCCGGGGUCAGAUAAUCGAUGCAACCCUCCGAAGUUCACACCUCUGGAAGGGUAUGCGCCAGCUAAGGCUCGUCACCAACAUGAGGGCUCAUAAUGACACCUGGUUUGCCGAUUACUUGCUAAGGGUAGGCAAUGGCACUGAGGAAGUUGACGAUCAAGGAAACAUACGACUCCCUGAAGAUAUUUGUGUGCCGUCUAUAGGUGAGGGUGACGACCUGGAGAAGCUGAUUGACCAUGUGUUUCCGAGACUAGAUGACAACCAGUCCGAUCCGAAUUACAUGACUUCACGCGCAAUCCUCUCCACCACGAACGACAACGUCGACAAGAUAAACAUACGCAUGGUAGACCGUUUUCGGGGAGAAGAAGUAAUAUACCAUAGCUUUGAUAGUGCAGAAGACGACCCGUAUGGCUACUACGCUCCCGAGUUCCUAAAUGGAUUGACUCCCAACGGUCUGCCUCCGCAUGCACUCAAACUGAAGCUCAACUGCCCUGUCAUACUUCUGAGGAACAUUGAUCCGGCUAAUGGUCUGUGUAACGGGACGAGGCUUGUGGUGCGAGGUUUCGAGAGGAACGCCAUUGAUGCAGAAAUCGUGAUCGGACAACACGCAGGUAGGAGGGUAUUCCUACCUCGAAUACCCCUAUGCCCGUCUGACAAUGACAUGUUUCCAUUCAAGUUCAAGAGGAAGCAAUUUCCUGUAAGGCUUAGCUUUGCUAUGACGAUUAACAAGGCUCAAGGCCAGACGAUUCCGAUUGUUGGCGUGUACCUACCUAAUCCGGUGUUCUCUCAUGGUCAACUCUAUGUCGCAUUGUCUCGAGCCACCGCAAAGAGAAAUAUAAAGAUCCUCAUUGAGAAGGAGAAGGAGAAGGAGAAUGCCAAGAAGCAAAGCCGUAAAUCUAAGAAGCGAAAAAGACCUGCCUUGUCCUUACAGGCCUCGAUGAAGAACAUCGUCUAUAAGGAAGUCCUUACAGGCUGAAGUCCGCUCUUAAAUAUGUGAGAGGAUUUACUCUUAUGCUACAAGUAAUUUGGUGCUCUUUGGUGUCUUUGUACAUAUCUAUAUCUUUCAAUGUUUGCAAUUGAACUUUAUUAUGUUUAUAGUACAAGGCAAGUAUUAAUAAUAUUGCCUCGGAUUUGUGACUUUGCAAGUUGCCAAAUUUUGCUGUAUGUGAUAUUAUUUUUCGUUUUGCUGGUUUGCUUAUGUAUAUUAUUCUUUUGUUGUUUUGUAAUCAAUCAUCUACUACAUCUAAACUCGGCUUUGUUUUUCUGCACAAAUAUUGCACACUGCCUUGGUCACUUCGUUCUUGUAAAACUAGACUCCACUCAAGUGUUCUACAUUAGAGAAAUAUUUAUGAUGCGGCCCCAAUGCAGACUGUAUGUUUACUUAUUGUCGUGAUCUUUGUACGUUGAUGCCUACACCCUACAGCCUGAGCCACUUGACGACCAAUCUGUAAUUCGAUGUUAAAAAUAUAGAUGCAGAUACGUUAAUUAUAAUGUGGCGUCGAAUUCCAUGAUAAUUCAUACCUGAAAUAAAAUUGUAAUUUAUUUGAUAUCUUACUAUCGUAUCCGCAUCGAGCACAACCGAGCGCAUCUAUUUCCGGUGAGGCCAACUAUCCAGAAUCCUCCCGCAUCUUAAAUCCAUUGACGCUUUUCUGUUAUAGGUUUUGUUCUAUGUAGAUACCGAAAUUAGCACCGCUAAACUUUUAAUCUGUAAAUACCACUAUAGAGUACUUUGGCCUGUAAUUAGCAAGUCUUCCUUCGUUGCCGCGCAAGUACUUCUCUUGCAUUCCCUGAGAUAUAAAGUAUAUACUAUCUCUACUUCCUAAUCAGUUUGAAAGAUUAAUUCAAACUAUGCAUGCUCCUAAUAAGGAGAAGGUCUUUAUUAUCUUGCAUGUACUUUCACCAGAAUGAUUAUUUUCGUUAUACCUCACUGACUAAUGAUGUCAGGCUUUACUUCGUCGGAAAUCAGCACAUGCCAGCUAGCGAAUAUUCAACAUAAAAAUAUGAUGGUUAUAGGCACAUACCUUUCAUUGCCUUUAAUCUUCAAGUUCUCCUCGAUCUGCUCUCUACCCAUGUUCGCACAUGAUCCAAAUUUCUCUUUCAUGCUCAUGAGUUUCUGAUAACACGCUGAUUUACUUUUAUGUGUUCCUGAAUAGAGUAACCAAAUUAAGUGAAAAUCGGUUUUCUUCUUGACUACGUAAAGUAGAAGACGGUACCAGCAUUUUCCGACAAAGAGGGAGGGGGAGGAAAGAAUUUAUUAUUAAGCUACUCUAAGGGAGUCACAUCUUUUAGAUUCAUCUUUACAUGCAAGGAGAAAACUGUGAUAAUGCAGCCAUAGAGGAACAAAUCCAAAAUACACAAAACAAAUACAUUGUAGCUAUCAUGAGUUUUGUUGUUGGGGUCAGGCAAUUGAAGAUUGUGGUCAUAAAUGCAGUAAAGCAUGCCUCUACUUAUGAGAGAACAACCAAAAUUACAAUAAACUCCACACUGAUUAUAAGUAUAGUGUUCGUACAAAAUGCUAAAAAGGAAAAUAGGUCUUCAUAAAUUGAAGAUAGUUCAGCCACAUCAGAUUCAGCACUACACAUAACUCGCGUACAUAUAUGCAUUGUUAAAUACACUGCUAAUCACAUCAAUACGAAAAUUUCCUUUCGAGGUCUUGCAGCUCUUUGGAAAUAAAACAAAAGCGACCAAAGGGCAGCUUCAAAUACCUUGCCUGCGGAGACCGUGCAUGUCCAGCAAUGAACCUCACCAGGACUCAAUCAUUUGGCAUGAACAGAUUGCUGGGCUGCAGCACACAACAAGAAGAACCAGUUCAACACGGAGUUAAUUUGAAAAAACCAAUGUCCAAGACAGUUUGUAGUUAACAUAAAUUAACAUUAUUGUUUCAGUUAACAACAAAAAUUAACAUUAUUGUUUCAGUUAACAACUCCUUUCUUGCACGGACAUGUAUUAUGUGAUCAAGCAGUAAAAAGCAUUUAAGGGAUUAUCUAAGUACAAAAUUUAGAGAGAAAAACAAAACUUUCAGACCAUGAACCACCGAUCUUCGCAAAAUAAGUUGUCUGAGGUUACUUAUCUGCCUAAGAGAGCGUGUACUACACGUCGAUGAUGCCCAUUUGCUCUAUAGGAUCCUGCACAAUUUACAGAUGUUUUUCCACUAUCAUGCGCCCAUGGACGAUGCACCUUUAGAAGUGUUUGGCAUAUUAUGCAUCUCCGAAAAUAUUGUAAUCAGACCCCAUGCAUGGAACAGCUUGUUCUGCCUGAUAUAUGUGUGCAACAUGUCAGAUGCAAAUAAUUCGAUCAACUAAUUAUUUAGUCUAACC
rnacentral:lncRNA from 1 species